rnacentral:rRNA from 1 species
GUGAGGAAUAUUGGUCAAUGGACGCAAGUCUGAACCAGCCAUGCCGCGUGCAGGAAGACGGUCCUAUGGAUUGUAAACUGCUUUUGUACGGGAAGAAACACUCCUACGUGUAGGAGCUUGACGGUACCGUAAGAAUAAGGAUCGGCUAACUCCGUGCCAGCAGCCGCGGUAAUACGGAGGAUCCAAGCGUUAUCCGGAAUCAUUGGGUUUAAAGGGUCCGUAGGCGGUCUUAUAAGUCAGUGGUGAAAGCCCAUCGCUCAACGAUGGAACGGCCAUUGAUACUGUAGGACUUGAAUUACUGGGAAGUAACUAGAAUAUGUAGUGUAGCGGUGAAAUGCUUAGAUAUUACAUGGAAUACCAAUUGCGAAGGCAGGUUACUACCAGUGGAUUGACGCUGAUGGACGAAAGCGUGGGGAGCGAACAGGAUUAGAUACCCCGGUAGUCC